rnacentral:lncRNA from 1 species
UCCUACUUCCCAACUUAAUCAACUUACAGUUGAGAUCAGUUAAAUUGGCAGUCCCCAACACUGAAGUUGACCCUAAAUUAGUCCCAGAAAUUAAUGGGAUGGAUCUGAAUGUCUUGUUCAAUGAUGAAAAUAUUUUCCCUAUUAAUAUUCCCCUGGAUUUGCCUAAAGAUUUAGUGUCUAUAGUUGGUGAUUGUGGAAUCAUUCUGG